GUAAAUGAUAAUGUUGUAUGGUUUGGAAAAACUACUUUUUAAGACUGAUUUAUAAUAUUACAAAGCGACUCUCUUUACAUCUUGUAUGCUUCAAAACUUAAAGACCUUCAAAUCAUAAGUUUAGUUGCCCAAAGAAAGUCUAAUUUUGUUCUUCUCAUCUAACAUGAAAGGACAGAGCAAGUAGCCUCAGUGGGGCAACCAACCAUAAAAGGAUUUAUGUAUCGUCACUGAUGCUUGCAAUAAGACCAAUUGCAUAAUAUCUACUUAAGAUCAUCCUUUACAAGACCGACCUACUUGGAAGAGUAGCAAAGUGGGCAAUUCUGUUAGACUUUAUAAAUUUCAUAAACAACUAAAAACACUAACCUGAAAGUAAGGUAUAAAAUAUCGAUGAUAUCGGAAAUAUCGGUAGUCCAAAAACACGAAAAUUUCGAUGGAAAUAUCGGGAUAUUAUCGAUAUCGAUAAAAAUUGAAUAAAAACCACGGAAAUUGUACGAAAAACUUGGAAAUUUUUAUUGAAACUUUGUGGGAUGUUUAUUUAGUCAAUUAUCUAUUAGUUUAUUACAAAAAAUUGUAAGGAAAUGCAUUGCAUGAUGGAUUUAACUAAUUUAAGUUGAUUAUAUAGCGAGCUGGCAAACAUUAUGAGUGUAGAAAAUAUGUAGUAAUUAAGGAAAGAAGUUUAAACACACCAUAAUCAUUUAUAUAUAAUGAAUUAGUACAAUAUUUUACACUUUAUACAUUGCAUGGUAAGAUACAUGAGUGACUUAGUACCACAUAGAGUUCCUAUCAAGGUCUAAAAUAUCGAUGAUAUCGGAAAUAUCGAUAGUCCAAAAACACGGAAAUUUCGAUGGAAAUAUCGGGAUAAUAUCGAUAUUUUAGACCUUGCCUGAAAGAAUUUAUAAAUUAUGCUCAAUUGAUAAAGUACUCGAAGUCAACGUGGCAUGUAGGAAAGAUGCACCAUCUUUGACAGAAUUGUGCAAAAUAGGCUCAACCAUGGACUUCUCAUUCUGUGGAAAUCGUAUUGGAAUCCUGCGGAAUAAUAUGUUAGUUGACCAAAGUCUUAUGUAUACUCAAGACUCCUUUAUACUUGAACUAAUGGGGCAUUCAUAUGAGUUUAUGUGUGUUGUGAGUAGUGUUCUAAAAAUCGGCCUAGGUGGCCGCCUAGGCGCUGGGCGGUGGCCAACCAUUAGGAUUAAUGCAAAAUCGAGAGCAAAAUUGGGACAGGGAUUAGGUGGGCACCGAGGUGGCCUGAGUAGCCCUUGGAAGGCCUAGGCAGGCUACUGGGUGGCCUAGGCGGUCUGGAAAUUUCAAUUUUUUCUGUGUUCGAACUUGAGAAAAGAUGAAUGCAGAUUAGCUGUGUUCUGGUUUUUCUGGACUUCAUGAGCUUCUGGUUUGUGUUCUUGUGAAGAGGAAGAAGAUGAGAGAAAAUUAGUUUCUCUCUCUUCCUUCCACACCCACAUGAUCACUUUCAAACUAUUUAAUAUAAUUUUUGUUUUUGUUUUUGUCCAUUCAAGUUUGGACAGCUAGCAUUUUAACUUUUCUGAAAGAAAAAAGGCUGUCAGUCCAUCUAUAGCAUUAAGUGCUAUUAAUUUUUUUCUCAUUAAAAAAACAUAGAUUGUCAGGUUGUCAGUUCAUAGCAUCAAGUGUUAUUGAUUUUUUGGACUUGUUAGAAACACAUUUUAUCAUUCUUUUACUAUUUUAUUCAGGGAUUUCAUACAAGUAUAAUUUUUUGUAAGUGUCAGUAUACACUUAUUUACAAGAUAUAUAAGAAAU
rnacentral:lncRNA from 1 species